rnacentral:lncRNA from 1 species
GCCCUCUCCCAGUUUAGUAUCAUUUGAGAAGUUAUUUGUCGCUGCUCUGAUGGUAGAAAAUUCAUAUUGCAAGGAUUCUGCAGUGCUAAUAUCAUCCCCGAGUGUACCUUCACCAACCAAAUAUUCGAUGAAACAUGGGCCAGGUCAAAAGUUCAAUAUCCCUUAAUAAUCUAGGUUAUCUUACUCUGAAUUUUGUUCACCAGCUUCCUCUUUUGCUUCUUCAUUAUGAUGACAAAAAUGCAUACAGUAAGAGUAAUAACUGUAAUAGUUGACACAAUUAUGAUAAUAAUAAUAAUGGGUAGUCGAGUUUUCUUAUCAUCCUUCCUUAUGAUUGGAGCUGUUUUACCAUC